GGACCUUCUUCUUUUCAUCCAAGAUAGCUACCUGGUGGAUAGUUCUCCAAAUAUUAUACUUUCUAGUCAUGUUAAAUGUAUCCAACUCUUCAUUGGCUCAUCUGUUUCAAAUUUCCCAGGGACGUUUAAUGGUGCAAUGUGACCCUCAUGCCUUCCGAGAGGAAAUGAUAUAGAAAAUGACUUUCAGCAGAUUGACUGAUGACUUGUUAAUGAUGGCAGUGUAACCUGUUCUAAUGGAAGAUUUAUCAGCAGCAUUUCAGAUGGCCAAUCACGGGGUGUUGUGGUCCUAGUCACAGUUCAUGGCUGAAUUGGCUGGCAAAUGACUGUUAUUUUAAACUAACAUGUAGAGGUAGGUCAAGAGGACAUUGAAUUCCCUGGAAGAGCUUUUCCUCUAUUUUAAAAUACUGCAUGAUGAGAAGCAAUCUUUUAUUUGAGGAGAAUUGUGAUCAAAUAAAGAUUUGAACAAUAAACUAAGCACCAUCAAAUUUACGUAUUA